UGAGGCGGGAGCCGGCAUGCUGGUGGGAUCCAGUGGCUGCCGUUAGGAUGGAUCGCUCGUCGGGCUGAUGCAUGGAAGAGUCCUCUGGAAGACGGGGAGAUGCUCCGCUCCGAUACACAGCAGAGAUUCGAGAGAAAGGUACUUCUGGAUCAGCUAAAGAUGGGACAGCGGCUGGAUUACCUUACUCUGUCCACCUGAGGC